AUCCGCCUUGGGCGGGGCUCGGGCUGGGCUUUCGCUAGAGCGAACGGACCCGGCCGAUCCCGCGAGGCGAGGUCGGAUGGUGGUGGCGGCCGUGAUGGUGCGGCGUGCGGGUCAUGGUGGGGCGGCUUGUAGCGGAUGGCGGGGGUUGGGGGAAGGGGCCAAGCGGAAGCG
rnacentral:sRNA from 2 species